rnacentral:pre_miRNA from 1 species
UGGGAGUCAAUUUUCGUCAAAGAUUGCUUUUUUGAGGAAAUUGUCUGCAAUGCUAUCGGUGGGAAUGUUAUAAUUCUGUCAAAAAUGCAAUUUUUGACGAAAAUUGCUCCG